AACGAACGCUGGCGGCAUGCCUAACACAUGCAAGUCGAACGAUACCUUCGGGUCUAGUGGCGCACGGGUGCGUAACGCGUGGGAUCAUGCCCUUAUGUUCGGAAUUACUCCCCGAAAGGGGUGCUAAUACCUGAUACUUUCUUCGGAUAAAAGAUUUCACCCCUUUGGAUGGGUCCGCGUUGUAUUUGCUAGUUGGUAGGGUAAAAGCCUACCAAGGCUACGAUUCAUAGCUGGUCUGAGAGGAGGAGCAGCUACACUGGGACUGAGACACGGCCCAGACUCCUACGGGAGGGAGCAGUGGGGAAUAUUGGACAAUGGGCGAAAGCCUGAUGAAGCAAUGCCACGUGAGUGAGGAAGGCCGUAGUGUUGUAAAGCUCGUUUAGCCGAGACGAUAAUGACAGUACCGGGAGAAUAAGCACCGGCUAACUCCGUG
rnacentral:rRNA from 1 species